ensembl:lincRNA
AUACUUUCACUAUGGCUGACGUCAAGCUGCCAUGGUGAUGUCACUGAAUGUGAGUUGGGAAGAGACAGGGGUCUUCAGCUCAUUCCGGGCAGCAUGGAUAACUGCAGCACACUGCUGCGUAGAUCCAUACGCAGGCAUCCACAGUGGGGAUGCUGUUGGGGAUACCGGAGAAACAAAGGAAACCCAGAAAUCUCGUACACCGCUGUUACCUUUGAGGAAGAGGCUGUCAAACGGGAGCUCACGAAUUAAUAACGGGAAAAACUUCAAAGGUAAACGUGAUUCCUGCAUGCUCAGUUUUACCCUGGAAUUUUGUCAAAAGUUGAUGGAUAAUGUUGCUGAGAUUGAAACCCAGGCAUUUUAA